AGAACGAACGCUGGCGGCAGGCUUAACACAUGCAAGUCGAACGCGUGUAGCAAUACACGAGUGGCGCACGGGUGAGUAACGCGUGGAUAUCUGCCUUUUGGUUCGGAAUAACCCCGGGAAACUGGGGCUAAUACCGGAUGGUUCCUACGGGAUAAAGAUUUAUCGCCAAAAGAUGAGUCCGCGUACGAUUAGCUAGUUGGUGAGGUAAUGGCUCACCAAGGCGACGAUCGUUAGCUGGUCUGAGAGGACGAUCAGCCACACUGGGACUGAGACACGGCCCAGACUCCUACGGGAGGCAGCAGUGGGGAAUAUUGGACAAUGGGGGCAACCCUGAUCCAGCCAUGCCGCGUGAGUGAUGAAGGCCUUCGGGUUGUAAAGCUCUUUUGGCGGGGACGAUGAUGGCGGUACCCGCAGAAUAACGCCCCGGCUAACUUCGCGCCAGCAGCCGC
rnacentral:rRNA from 1 species